rnacentral:tRNA from 1 species
AAUGAUUAAGAAGAAAAUUUCUUAU